ensembl:lncRNA
CCUCACUUAAGGGUUGACCCUUGCUAGGAAGGGGUCUCUGAUUGGAGAUCUUUUCUCUGCAGAAGUUUCUUCUGCAAGCCUAGAUCCUCAGAGACUGUGAUUCAACUGGAAUUUUUCAAGCAGCAGUAAAAUACAAGGUUAGAGUGAUCCAGCUACUGUAUAAAACAGUAAGUGCAUUCAGGAACAUCUGCAAGUUGGUCCAAAAGGUAUAUGGAAGCCCCAGGGAGAAGACAACUGUACCAUACCUCACAACAAAGUCAACAGGUACUGAUGAAAGAAGUGUGACGUCCAAGAACCACCUUCGGUAUUGCCCAAAUUCUUUCAUAACAGGCCAUCUUACUGCAGGAUGCUAUACUGCCAUGCCUUACCAAAACAAAGUUUGCCAGGACUAGAAGAGACCUGCCAGAUGAUAAAUGUUAUGAAGAAUAUGGUGACAUUUAGAAGAGAGAUCUGAGGAAAGUUAUCUCUCUGUCACUUUUUUCAGAAGCACUUUACAAGGUCUGCCAAUUUAAGAUCCGUGUAAUACCAGCCUGCUGGAAAUAACUGCUAAGGUUUAUGAUUUAUUAUUGCUUAUUGUAACUUCAUAACUAAACAUUCUUUCCCCCUCUCCUUUCCUCUCUUCCUGCUGUCCCUAAAGGUGGCAAUAAAGCCACUGUUAUACCUCAAACACAACAAAACAGACAUUCUCCUCUUUUCACAUAUGUCUAAUCAGUUGGGAUGGAGGACCAAAUCCAGAUAAAAGACAAUAGCCUGACUGACACCUUCAGGUAUACUCUUACCUUUGAAAGCAAACUCCUUUUCCAGUUAUCCUUACAUAGAGAUUUUGAUAAAAGACAUCCCAAAGCUGUUAGCUUGUUACCAUUCACAGUUUUUGUUUUUUUUUCUAAUACUUGCAAAUUCCCACACAUCUCCAUAGUCCCCUCUUUUAAGACCAACCCAAUGGAAAAAAACAGCUUACAAAAUCUGUCCUAAGGCACCAGGAAUGUGUUCUUUGUCAUGAA